rnacentral:rRNA from 1 species
GUCGUAACAAGGUUUCCGUAGGUGAACCUGCGGAAGGAUCAUUACCUAGAGUUGUAGGCUUUGCCUGCUAUCUCUUACCCAUGUCUUUUGAGUACCUUCGUUUCCUCGGCGGGUCCGCCCGCCGAUUGGACAAUUUAAACCAUUUGCAGUUGCAAUCAGCGUCUGAAAAAACUUAAUAGUUACAACUUUCAACAACGGAUCUCUUGGUUCUGGCAUCGAUGAAGAACACAGCGAAAUGCGAUAAGUAGUGUGAAUUGCAGAAUUCAGUGAAUCAUCGAAUCUUUGAACGCACAUUGCGCCCCUUGGUAUUCCAUGGGGCAUGCCUGUUCGAGCGUCAUUUGUACCUUCAAGCUCUGCUUGGUGUUGGGUGUUUGUCUCGCCUCUGCGCGCAGACUCGCCUCAAAACAAUUGGCAGCCGGCGUAUUGAUUUCGGAGCGCAGUACAUCUCGCGCUUUGCACUCAUAACGACGACGUCCAAAAGUACAUUUUUACACUCUUGACCUCGGAUCAGGUAGGGAUACCCGCUGAACUUAAGCAUAUCA